AAUUACCAUUGACCUCAAUGUCCUUAACUAUUUUCUCCUUCAAAUUUUUUUCCAAGACCUUGCAUACUACAGAUGUCAAACUAACAGGCCUAUAGUUACUUUUGGCCUUUCUCACUUUAUCCCUACAUGUUCUGACUUCAAUAGGGUAGCUUUCCUUGCUUAUCCCUCCGAUCUUCCACUCCUUGUAGGCGUUCUGCUUUUUCUUAAUCACCUCUCUGAGAGGCUUGCUCAUCCAGCUUGGUGCUUGCUCAUCUAUCUCAUUCAGCCAUUUGUUUUUAAAAUUAUUACUUAAAUGCAGGGGGAGAAAGUAAGAUUUUUAGCUAAUAAUUCUUAACGUUGUGCGGUUAGUGAACUAAUUCUUUCUCCAGCAUAUUAUAUCAGUGGACUGAAGACAAAGAGUCUAUCCAGGGCUCUAAGCAGCAUUGCAAUGGAUUAAAAAUGCAAACAAAAGCAGACUAAACAACUUUCCCAAAAUCAGGAAAGAAAAAUGACAGAAGGACCUCUGUGCACGCAUUUCAACCCUCUGUGCAUUCUCCUGCCUGGCCUGGCAGAAGAAACUGUGUUUUGUCGUGCCCAGAAGGUCAACAGGCCUGGGCUUCUUCAAACCAAGGAGGGAGAGAAUUCCACAGUUCAGAGUCCUGCAUGGAGACUGCUGUUACAGUGCCUUGUGCACACUUAAAUGCCGGGGGUUCAGUUCAAGUGCCUUCACCAACCACAGCUAUGGCAGUAUAGAACUGGGAGAGGGAUUAGACCAGACACUUAAGAUUAAGAAACCUACCUGUUGAAGUACAGUAGAACUUCAGAGUCACGAACACCAGAGUUAUGAACUGAACAGUCAACCACACACCUCAUUUGGAACCAGAAGUACACAAUCAGGUAGCAGCAGAGACUAAAAAAAGAAAAAGGAAAAAAAAACCAAACAAACAACCUUCUCCUGCCCAGCUGUCCCACUGUUUGCAGGAGUAUGUAUACUGCAUCUCCUGUGCCUGUAAGACUGAUCGAACCCAGUGACACAAACAUUAUUGUAUAUAAAUGUUUACUUUGUAUUGCAAACCAUUAUAAACAGCUUCUUUCAAAGGCAA